CAGUCGCCACGGUAAUACAGAGGGUGCGAGCGUUAAUCGGAUUUACUGGGCGUAAAGCGUGCGUAGGCGGCUUUUUAAGUCGGAUGUGAAAUCCCUGAGCUUAACUUAGGAAUUGCAUUCGAUACUGGGAAGCUAGAGUAUGGGAGAGGAUGGUAGAAUUCCAGGUGUAGCGGUGAAAUGCGUAGAGAUCUGGAGGAAUACCGAUGGCGAAGGCAGCCAUCUGGCCUAAUACUGACGCUGAGGUACGAAAGCAUGGGGAGCAAACAGGAUUAGAGACCCCUGUAGUCCCUGUCUCUUAUAC
rnacentral:rRNA from 1 species